rnacentral:rRNA from 1 species
ACCUACGGGAGGCAGCAGUAGGGAAUCUUCCACAAUGGGCGAAAGCCUGAUGGAGCAACGCCGCGUGGGUGAAGAAGGUCUUCGGAUCGUAAAACCCUGUUGUUAGAGAAGAAAGUGCGUGAGAGUAACUGUUCACGUUUCGACGGUAUCUAACCAGAAAGCCACGGCUAACUACGUGCCAGCAGCCGCGGUAAUACGUAGGUGGCAAGCGUUAUCCGGAUUUAUUGGGCGUAAAGGGAACGCAGGCGGUCUUUUAAGUCUGAUGUGAAGGCCUUCGGCUUAACCGGAGGAGUGCAUUGGAAACU